GUGCUGAGAUAGAGCUGCCAGCCAGGGGCCCAGAGUAAGAUCUUGGAAACAAAGACCUCAACAGGGAUAAAAUUUACUUGAUUUGUCAAAUAGUCCGGGUCGGCAAGAUGGAUCUUAAGGAUACUGGUGCAAAGAAGUGCACGCAGGGACUGAGGAGGCCCUUUGGGGUGGCAGUUAUGGAUAUAACAGACAUCAUCAAGGGGAAAGCAGAGAGUGAUGAAGAAAAGCAGCACUUCAUUCCUUUUCACCCGGUUACAGCUGAGAAUGACUUCCUACACAGCCUGCUGGGCAAAGUCAUAGCCUCCAAGGGGGACAGUGGAGGGCAAGGCCUCUGGGUGACCAUGAAGAUGCUGGUGGGUGACAUCAUUCAGAUUCGCAAGGACUAUCCACACCUGGUGGACAGGACCACCGUGGUGGCCAGGAAGCUGGGAUUCCCAGAGAUCAUCAUGCCAGGGGAUGUCAGGAACGACAUCUACAUUACUCUCUUACAAGGUGACUUUGACAAGUACAACAAGACCACACAGAGGAAUGUGGAAGUCAUCAUGUGUGUGUGCGCGGAGGAUGGCAAAACGCUGCCU
rnacentral:sRNA from 1 species